AUGAACGCUGGCGGCGUGGCUAAGGCAUGCAAGUCGAGCGAAUUGCAUUUGGUAGCAAUACUGGAUGCAGUUAGCGGCAAACGGGUGCGUAACACAUUGGUAACUUUCCCUUGAAUCGUGAAUAGCCCUUCGAAAGGAGGAGUAAUACACGAUGGACAUGCGGGGUCAUAAGACAUUCGCAUGUAAAGAAGAAAUUCGUUCAAGGAGAGGCCUAUGGCCUAUCAGCUUGUUGGUGAGGUAAAAGCUCACCAAGGCUAUGACGGGUAGGGGGCGUGAGAGCGUGGCCCCCCUCACUGGGACUGAGACACUGCCCAGACGCCUACGGGCGGCUGCAGUCGCGAAUCUUCCGCAAUGGACGAAAGUCUGACGGAGCGACGCCGCGUGCAGGAUGAAGGCCUUCGGGUCGUAAACUGCUUUUGUUAGAGAAGAAUUUUGACGGUAUCUUUCGAAUAAGAGGUUGCUAACUCUGU
rnacentral:rRNA from 1 species